ensembl:snRNA U6 U6 spliceosomal RNA
GUGCUUGCUUCAGCAGCACAUACACUAAAAUUGGAACAAUACAAAGAUGAUUAGCAUGGCCCCUG